rnacentral:rRNA from 1 species
AUUGAACGCUGGCGGCAUGCCUUACACAUGCAAGUCGAACGGCAGCACGGGAGCAAUCCUGGUGGCGAGUGGCGAACGGGUGAGUAAUAUAUCGGAACGUGCCCGGUCGUGGGGAUAACGUAGCGAAAGCUACGCUAAUACCGCAUACGAUCUACGGAUGAAAGACGGGGGAGGUCGCAAGACCUCGCGCGAUUGAGCGGCCGAUAUCAGAUUAGGUAGUUGGUGAGGUAAAGGGACUCACCAAGCCGACGAUCUGUAGCUGGUCUGAGAGGACGACCAGCCACACUGGGACUGAGACACGGCCCA